rnacentral:rRNA from 1 species
GUGAGGAAUAUUGGACAAUGGGCGCAAGCCUGAUCCAGCCAUGCCGCGUGCAGGAAGACGCAUCUAUGGUGUGUAAACUGCUUUUGUACGGGAAGAAACACUCCCUCGUGAGGGAGCUUGACGGUACCGUAAGAAUAAGGAUCGGCUAACUCCGUGCCAGCAGCCGCGGUAAUACGGAGGAUCCAAGCGUUAUCCGGAAUCAUUGGGUUUAAAGGGUCCGUAGGCGGUUUAAUAAGUCAGUGGUGAAAGCCCAUCGCUCAACGAUGGAACGGCCAUUGAUACUGUUAGACUUGAAUUACAUGGAAGUAACUAGAAUAUGUAGUGUAGCGGUGAAAUGCUUAGAUAUUACAUGGAAUACCAAUUGCGAAAGCAGGUUACUACUUGUGGAUUGACGCUGAUGGACGAAAGCGUGGGGAGCGAACAGGAUUAGAUACCCCAGUAGUCC